GUCCGGUUAAGGUGCAUAAGCUCAAGCUUAUGCACCGUCCAUAAGCCCAAAUCCAUUGCUACCCGCAACCCCAUCCAUUGCUACGCACACCCCCAUCCACGUACGCAACUUUCAUAUUCACAAAACAAUCUCUCGCUGUUGCGUUCGUUCAACCUUCCCCAUCGCCGUCGAGUUCACCGUCGAGUUAGUGUGUUUCAUCUUCAACAUCAUCAUUCAUCGUCGUUCAACAUUCAACCUUCAUUGUGUUUCAGAUUCAGAAACACAAUCUAUCGCCGUCGCGUUCUAUCAACCUUCGCCAUCGCCGUCGAGUUCGUGCGUUUCAUCUUCAACAUCAUCAUUCAACACUCAUCGUCGUUCAACAUUCAUCACCGAAAGGGACAACUUUAUUUUAUGUCUAAAAACUCAUUUAAUUUAUACUGUUAAAAUUUGAACAUAAUCAACUUGAGGCAUUAAUUAAUCAUCAAAUCGGUAUGUUAUUGAAUAUGAAUAUGGCUAUCACUUUGUACUUCUUAGUAUGCCAUGUGUUUGAUAAUAUGCCUCAGAGGCUUUUGUAUCGGUGUUUGACUCUUUUUUUCCUUGUUGGUGUUACAUUAUAUUAUAAAUAAGCCAAGCUUUUCUUAUGCAAUUUUGUUGACUAUUAUUUUAUUGUCUUCAAUUACUGAUUCACUAAAUUGGAAUAAUGGGUUAUUGUUUUUAAUUGCUCUUGCAUGAAAUUCCUAUAGAAGUUUGAUUUUUUGGUGAAAUAUCUUUCUGAUUAUUACAGUUGUGACUAAUUGGUGUGGCAUGCAUGAUAUCAGUGCAUCAGCUGAAGAGUGUUAGCAUAUUGGCUCAAUAUACACUUUGGAAAGCCGUUCUCAGAUGAGUAUGCUAAAGAAUCUGGGGGCAUGCAGACGCAGGAAUCGGCUCUAUGCUGCCGGUGCCAGAAACUACCUUAAAGUGUUGGGUUUUUCCUCUAUUCACACAGCUCCAAACUCCUCUGUUUACACUGAAACCAUUUACCAAGCGUAAUGGUUUCAGUGUAUAACUUGCUGAAACCAUAAAACCAUACUUAUGGUUUCAAUGUUUGUACACCUAGUCUGAAAUGACGAUGUUACAUAGCAUUUGAAUAUUGUAAAUCUGUGGGUUUGUUGACUUAAUCAUCAGUAGGCUUUAUUAUGAUUUAUGAAUGUAUUUUAUGAUACUUACAGUUUUACCAAUAGUGCAUACUUACAGUUUUGAAAAUGAUUUUAGUAGUUUAUACACUGAAACCAUUAGCAUUGGAAAAUGGCAAUGCCUUUCGACUUCAGCAAAUUUAAGUGGGAAACUCCCAAAAUGCCAACUCAACCAGACAAAGACAAUUGUGGAGUUUUCUGCAUGAAGUUCUUAGCUGAAUGGGAAGGUGACAGUAAGACUUCAAUGGACUCUUUCAAAGAUUGGAACAAACUCAAAAAGCAAGACAAAGUGGAAAAACUAAUGGAUUUGAGGAUUGGAAUAUGCUCCACAAUUUU